CUCUUUACAGCCUCCUGGCCUGUGUUGUAGCCUGGGAGGUCCCCUGCAGGGCAGAGGCCACCAAAAGUCCAACUGCUUCACUUUCCUUCCUUAAAGAAUCACUGCCCUCGCUCACCUGCUCCAUGUCUUGCAAGGAACAGUGUCACACAGCAGCAGAAUGAUGUGGGCAGAACUUCGGAUUCAGGCAAGAACACACCAGACAACGGGAGAAUCUACGGCCUCUUGCAUGGGAAGGUUCUCUUUGGGCUUAGCACAGCUAAGGGAUGCUUCCCACUGGAGUCCUUUAUACAUUCUGUAUCUUUCUUCCAGCUCUUCUCUGGAAUCGUGUCUAAGGGAAAAUUACCGAGCUCAUGUGCCCCUCCCCCAGCUGGGUUCUAGUGACUGCCUUUACAGGUAGCAGUGCUUGUCUGAUGGAAAUGGGAGAGGACCAUGCCUCUGCUGGAACUCCCCGCUCCCCCAUGAAGUUAAGACGUACAAGGCACUUAGUGCUCUGUAUCCAGAAAUGCGUGGAUUGUGCUCUUCCCACAUCUCUACAGACGAUGGGUUGGAACCUGAAUCCACACCUGUCAUUCCCCCAAGCCUGUGCUGCCUACUUCGUCUGUUUCCUGCCUCAGUUUCCUUUUGCUUCCUUCUCUGUUUCCAGCUGUGAGAAGGAAGGAGAAAAGGAGGCCAGCCCAUACAUCACCUGAAUGUGUAUCUGGACAAUGGCCCAAAUAUCACUCCCUGUUCUAGGAGGGGAGGCUAUGACCACUCUGGGUUGAGGAUCAGUGUGUUCCAUCACUAUGGCCAAGGAACAGACACAGCCAUCAUGUGACCUGUGGUGAGAAUGUGUUUCAGUAUAGUAAAUUUAUU